GAUGAACGCUGGCGGCGUGCCUAAUACAUGCAAGUCGAGCGAAUGGAUUGAGAGCUUGCUCUUAUGAAGUUAGCGGCGGACGGGUGAGUAACACGUGGGUAACCUGCCCAUAAGACUGGGAUAACUCCGGGAAACCGGGGCUAAUACCGGAUAACAUUUUGAACCGCAUAGUUCGAAAUUGAAAGGCGGCUUCGGCUGUCACUUAUGGAUGGACCCGCGUCGCAUUAGCUAGUUGGUGAGGUAACGGCUCACCAAGGCAACGAUGCGUAGCCGACCUGAGAGGGUGGUCGGCCACACUGGGACUGAGACACGGCCCAGACUCCUACGGGAGGCAGCAGUAGGGAAUCUUCCGCAAUGGACGAAAGUCUGACGGAGCAACGCCGCGUGAGUGAUGAAGGCUUUCGGGUCGUAAAACUCUGUUGUUAGGGAAGAACAAGUGCUAGUUGAAUAAGCUGGCACCUUGACGGUACCUAACCAGAAAGCCACGGCUAACUACGUGCCAGCCGCCGCAGUAA
rnacentral:rRNA from 1 species